GGAACAGAGACCAUAGCUCCAGAUGGAUGCUGCCCUGUCUGUAUUCCAAGGGGUCAUCCAUGCAGUGUGUCCAGCAAUGCUGUGUACCUAGAGAGCCAGGGUUGCUACUCCAAAGACCGGGUGAACGUCACAUCUUGUAAUGGAGCUUGUGGUACCUUCACCUUCUACAACACCAAAAUGAGAUCCCUGCAGCACACCUGCUCUUGCUGUCAGGAGGUGGCCACAUCUGAAAGGCAGGUCCAACUCUCCUGCCCUGACAAUACUGAGAUCACCUACACCUACACCCACAUCGACGCCUGCGGGUGCCUCAAGACAGAGUGCACUGUGCCUGGCCAAAGAAAAGAACCACCUACCCCCAGGUCACGUCGACGCAGAAGAUGAGACAAAAACCCAGGACUGGAACUUGUAGGAACAUAACUGAAUAAUCGUAAUUGAAUCAGUGUCAACUUCAUAUGCAUACAUGAUUCCUCUAUUUAUGUCUAAUGUAGUUUUAGUUUGA